UACGUAGGGCGCAAGCGUUGUCCGGAAUUAUUGGGCGUAAAGAGCUCGUAGGCGGCUUGUCACGUCGGGUGUGAAAGCCCGGGGCUUAACCCCGGGUCUGCAUUCGAUACGGGCUAGCUAGAGUGUGGUAGGGGAGAUCGGAAUUCCUGGUGUAGCGGUGAAAUGCGCAGAUAUCAGGAGGAACACCGGUGGCGAAGGCGGGUCUCUGGGCCGAUAUUGACGCUGAGGAGCGAAAGCGUGGGGAGCGAACAGG
rnacentral:rRNA from 1 species